GUAACAAGGUUUCCGUAGGUGAACCUGCGGAAGGAUCAUUACCUAGAGUUUGUGGGCUUUGCCCGCUACCUCUUACCCAUGUCUUUUGAGUACUUACGUUUCCUCGGCGGGUCCGCCCGCCGAUUGGACAAAAUCAAACCCUUUGCAGUUGCAAUCAGCGUCUGAAAAACAUAAUAGUUACAACUUUCAACAACGGAUCUCUUGGUUCUGGCAUCGAUGAAGAACGCAGCGAAAUGCGAUAAGUAGUGUGAAUUGCAGAAUUCAGUGAAUCAUCGAAUCUUUGAACGCACAUUGCGCCCCUUGGUAUUCCAUGGGGCAUGCCUGUUCGAGCGUCAUUUGUACCUUCAAGCUUUGCUUGGUGUUGGGUGUUUGUCUCGCCUCUGCGUGUAGACUCGCCUUAAAACAAUUGGCAGCCGGCGUAUUGAUUUCGGAGCGCAGUACAUCUCGCGCUUUGCACUCAUAACGACGACGUCCAAAAGUACAUUUUUACACUCUUGACCUCGGAUCAGGUAGGGAUGCACCCGCUGAACUUAAGCAUAUC
rnacentral:rRNA from 1 species